rnacentral:rRNA from 1 species
UACAGAGGGGCAAGCGUUAUUCGGAAUUAUUGGGCGUAAAGGCGCGUAGGCGGCCUGGCAAGUGGAUGGUGAAAUCCCUCGGCUUAACCGAGGAACUGCCAUCCAGACUGCUUGGCUUGAGACCGGGAGAGGUGAGUGGAAUUCCCAGUGUAGCGGUGAAAUGCGUAGAUAUUGGGAGGAACACCAGUGGCGAAGGCGGCUCACUGGACCGGUACUGACGCUGAGGCGCGAAAGCGUGGGGAGCAAACGGG